rnacentral:rRNA from 1 species
CCAGACUCCUACGGGAGGCAGCAGUGGGGAAUAUUGCACAAUGGGCGCAAGCCUGAUGCAGCCAUGCCGCGUGUAUGAAGAAGGCCUUCGGGUUGUAAAGUACUUUCAGUCGGGAGGAAGGUGGUAAGGUUAAUAACCUUGUUGAUUGACGUUACCCGCAGAAGAAGCACCGGCUAACUCCGUGCCAGCAGCCGCGGUAAUACGGAGGGUGCAAGCGUUAAUCGGAAUUACUGGGCGUAAAGCGCACGCAGGCGGUCUGUCAAGUCGGAUGUGAAAUCCCCGGGCUCAACCUGGGAACUGCAUUCGAAACUGGCAGGCUGGAGUCUUGUAGAGGGGGGUAGAAUUCCAGGUGUAGCGGUGAAAUGCGUAGAGAUCUGGAGGAAUACCGGUGGCGAAGGCGGCCCCCUGGACAAAGACUGACGCUCAGGUGCGAAAGCGUGGGGAGCAAACAGGAUUAGAUACCCCUGUAGC